rnacentral:rRNA from 1 species
GACGAACCGUGCGAACGUUGUUCGGAUUCACUGGGCUUAAAGGGCGCGUAGGCGGCUUGCCAAGUCAGGGGUGAAAUCUUUCGGCUCAACCGGAAAAGUGCCUCUGAUACUGGCGAACUAGAGGGAGGUAGGGGUGCGUGGAACUUCUGGUGGAGCGGUGAAAUGCGUAGAUAUCAGAAGGAACGCCGGUGGCGAAAGCGACGCACUGGAUCUCUACUGACGCUGAGGCGCGAAAGCCAGGGGAGCGAACGGG